AACGGACGCUGGCGGCAGGCUUAACACAUGCAAGUCGAACGGUUGUAGCAAUACAGCAGUGCAGACGGGUGAGUAACACGUGGGAACCUUCCUAGGGGUACGGAACAACUCAGGGAAACUUGAGCUAAUACCGUAUACGUCCGUGAGGAGAAAGAUUUAUCGCCCUUAGACGGGCCCGCGUCGGAUUAGCUAGUUGGUGGGGUAACGGCCUACCAAGGCGACGAUCCGUAGCUGAUCUUAGAGGAUGAUCAGCCACACUGGGACUGAGACACGGCCCAGACUCCUACGGGAGGCAGCAGUGGGGAAUCUUGGACAAUGGGCGCAAGCCUGAUCCAGCCAUGCCGCGUGAGUGAAGAAGGUCUUCGGAUUGUAAAGCUCUUUUGCCAGGGACGAUAAUGACGGUACCUGGAGAAUAAGCCCCGGCAAACUUCGUGCCAGCCGCCGCAGUAA
rnacentral:rRNA from 1 species